UACGGGGGGGGCAAGCGUUGUUCGGAAUUACUGGGCGUAAAGGGCUCGUAGGCGGCCAACUAAGUCGGACGUGAAAUCCCCAGGCUCAACCGGGGAACUGCGUCCGAUACUGGAUGGCUUGAAUCCGGGAGAGGGAUGCAGAAUUCCAGGUGUAGCGGUGAAAUGCGUAGAUAUCUGGAGGAACACCGGUGGCGAAGGCGGCAUCCUGGACCGGCAUUGACGCUGAGGAGCGAAAGCCAGGGGAGCAAACGGG
rnacentral:rRNA from 1 species